AAUCGAUCACUUUCUAAUUUUCAUUAACUAUGUGGGGAUACGGACUAGGGUCAUCCCAUUUGCAGAGAAGAGUUUUCAGGUUUGCACCGCUGUUCAAGUCGAAAGAACAACUCUCCUCUAAGUAAAUUUUGUUGAUUCUCCUCGUUUAGUUUAUGGGUUUGGUGAUUUGGAUUGGAUUCUACACUAAAGUUUCAUAUUCGAAUUCAAUUGGGUUACUUUAGCUUUUGUUCUUUGAUUUCUGCUAAUUUAUGCAAUUGGGUUAUAUAGCACAAGUUUGGCAAUGCUUAUGCUUUAAAGAAAGUCUGGAAAGGGGUGGAGCUAAUAAGAGAGCGCUUGCUCAGAUUUAGCUUGGGUGUUAGUUUGUUUAGUAUGUUGGGGAUGUUAUAGUUAGGGAAUUAGUAUGUAAUAGUUUGGGAUAAAAUGAGCAAUGAGAUUACUGUUUUCAUGCUCCUUUUUAACUCUUGACAUGAUUUCAGGUGAUAGAGGCUGAUAAUGUUAUGGGCUCAAGUAGGGUUGAUGAAGAUGCUGAACCCAUUUUACAAUAUGGACACAGCAUUUCUAGGAAAAGAGGUUUAUCAUGAGCUAAAUUUGAUGGUUUAAUGGGUUUGAGCUGUUAAACAGGCAGUACAAUCUUUGCAAAGUAAGGUUCUUAAGUGGUUUAUGUCAUAUAUUCUACAGACUUUGCUGACUUCUUUGUAUGUCAUAUAUCAAACCAUUUAGGGGUUCAGAAAGGUUUACUGAGAUGGUUCAAAGGAUAUCAUUUGUUUUAAAGUUUGUGAGCUGUGUAACAUUCUUUAUAUUGUUUUCAUUUUAUGUGAUGUAGUUGUCCAUUGAGGAGUAGAGGAGAACGCAGACAUCAUGCCUAGAAUUAAAGUGGGAAAGGAAAUCAAAUCUUGCUUACACACAUAAGGAUAUUGAUGUGGUUCGAGCUGAAUGGGCAAAUCAUGUUAUGAAGUUCUAACUUUGGUUCUGUUUAAGGUAGAUGAGUAGCAUCAGGAACUGCUUUUGUGCAUUUAUAUAUAACUGAUGGAAAGUGUUGAUGAACCUAAAUUAUGCAUGCAGUUGCUUUGCCUAGCUACUCUUUCUUUACCUUAUAGGUUUUUGACUUAGUGCAAUAUUAGGUAAAUGAUCGAGAUCGAUAAGAUGGUUUUUUGGUUCUCUUGAUCAUUAUGUAACUGUUGGCUAGGUUUAGAGUUGGAACUAUGGAUUGUAUUUUGGAUGAUGUUGAUGCAAUGAAACGUAGCCAUCAUUUUCA